UUCUUAUCAAGAAAGGCAGAGGGAAUGGUCCGAUGAAGCCUUGGCAACCUCACGAAAGUGAAAGGUGCCACAUCCAACCGAAUAAAAUUGUUCGGGCAGAUAAGUC
rnacentral:ncRNA from 2 species